rnacentral:rRNA from 1 species
GACGUAGGGCGCGAGCGUUGUCCGGAUUUAUUGGGCGUAAAGAGCUCGUAGGCGGCUUGUCGCGUCGACUGUGAAAUCCCGCGGCUCAACUGCGGGUCUGCAGUCGAUACGGGCAGGCUAGAGUUCGGUAGGGGAGACUGGAAUUCCUGGUGUAGCGGUGAAAUGCGCAGAUAUCAGGAGGAACACCGGUGGCGAAGGCGGGACUCUGGGCCGAUACUGACGCUGAGGAGCGAAAGCGUGGGGAGCGAACAGG